rnacentral:rRNA from 1 species
UACGUAGGGGGCAAGCGUUGUCCGGAAUCAUUGGGCGUAAAGAGCGUGUAGGCGGCCAGAUAAGUCCGCUGUGAAAUCUCGAGGCUCAACUUCGAGCUGUCGGUGGAAACUGUCUGGCUAGAGUCCGGAAGAGGAGAAUGGAAUUCCUGGUGUAGCGGUGAAAUGCGCAGAUAUCAGGAAGAACACCCGUGGCGAAGGCGUUCUCUGGGACGGUACUGACGCUGAGACGCGAAAGCGUGGGGAGCGAACAGG